rnacentral:rRNA from 1 species
UACGUAGGGGGCGAGCGUUGUCCGGAUUUAUUGGGCGUAAAGAGCUCGUAGGCGGCUCGGUAAGUGAGGUGUGAAAACUCCAGGCUCAACCUGGAGACGCCACCUCAUACUGCCGUGGCUAGAGUCCGGUAGGGGAGCAUGGAAUUCCUGGUGUAGCGGUGAAAUGCGCAGAUAUCAGGAGGAACACCAGUGGCGAAGGCGGUGCUCUGGGCCGGAACUGACGCUGAGGAGCGAAAGCCAGGGGAGCAAACGGG